rnacentral:sRNA from 1 species
AACACAACUGUUUUGAUUUCAAAAUUCUAAAAAAAAAAAACUUAAAAUUAAAAGGAAAAUUAGUUAAUUAUAAUUUUUAGAUUUUUUAUUGCACAAAAUUUGUACUUCUAAAAUUAUAUAUGGAGGUUUUCUAUACCUUUUAGUUCUUUUGGACUCGUUCAAUUUUGGAAGAACAAUACGCAUUUUUCUCAUUUAUUUUCGGCUUCAAAAUUUGUUUACACUAAAAUUAUUUUUGUGAAAUAGUUUUUUUUUUUGGUCUUGCGACCGUUUAAAUAUAAAAUUGUAUUUUUGUUGCUGCUAAUGAAUAGUAAAAAACUAAAUUCAAGUGAUGUCGUGGAGCCCGUGACGAUUGUCAGCUUCUGCAGGACUUUACUGCAUGAAGUGCUGAUAUUUCUGUUGUUCUUUUCGAUAUCGGCGGUGGUUUUCUUCGUGUUCUUCUCGGCGUUGAAUAGUUUUGCCAUGAUGGCCACAAAUAAGCCACGACCCUUUAAAUAUUGUUUAUGGCCCAAAGAAUGGUGCAGUAUACUCAACAAGCAGCCCAAGCUGCAUGAGCCGGAGUCACUCGUCAUGCAGCAACAGCAUAUAGAACGGUCGCGGCCAAAAUAUGAUCGUUUUUUGGAUUACAUGUUUAGAGCCACAUAGCGGCACAAUAAUAAAUACAUAAAAUAUUCUGUACAUAUAAUACAUGGUUAACCGACAGCACCUUACUUGUCAUUAUGCACACAUCGUAUGUUCUCCACAACUGUGGCGUCACUUAAGCGUUCCGAACUGUCGGGUCUUUCCUGAUGAAGUUUGAAGUUAAAUUAUAUAUAUGCCACCGGGCAAAUGUCUCUCGUCAAGAUUGAGACAUAGUCCCGGGUCAAUAUAAACAAUAUAUGCAUAUAUAAUAUAUGCACUAACGGAUACAAUUCUCAAAAAUUUACAUAAAAAUACGUAACCUCAACUAUGAGAUGAGCAGCACGCAACUCUCAAAUGGCCAUUAUCAAUACAUGUGUUCUGACGCCCAGCUUUUCAAUGCGUUUCGGUGGCAGUUAAGAUGUCUUCCAAUAUACAACAAAAUCCAUACCCCCUAACA